CUCCAUACGUAUAGAAAUAUGGUAUAACUAUGCGACUCGGUUUUUGUGGUCAUCGCUCGGGUACCCUGUGUGUCACAAUCCAGUAAAUCAUGCAACUCCCAGGCCCCACUCGGCCUCAACUAGAAAGGAGUCAUCGUCAAGUGACACGUCAAUCACGAUGACGUCAUGAUGAUGUUUACUAAAUCACCAAACUGGACAUAACCGGUUUAUAACCAGUCUAACUGGAAAUGAAGCUUACGUGUUUUUACACAUUUUUUACCACCGCCCCCAAACUUCCUCACUUAUGCUUCAAAGUUCUUUUAUGAACAACGCAAACCCGCAAAGCGAAACAGGAAAUUGAAUAUUGAGAAGUUUAUUAUUGCCACUGUGACCAUGGACGACCUUUCACGUGGUGAUAAAAGAGUUAAAGAAGAACCAAGAAGAGGGGAGGAGCGAAAUAAUGAGGAGUAGAGGUCACGCAGGCCACGAGUGUUGACAGAAGGACAAAGAGCUCGGAAGAGAGCGCGUGACCUUGUACUCACCGAGGAGCAAAGAGUGCGAAAAAGACAGACGAGCUCCGAGUACAGGUUAAGUGGUGAGUAAAGAGUCCGGAAAAAGCAAAAGGACUCGGAGUACGAACUAAAUGACGAGCAGAGAGCUCGUAAGAGGCAGAGAAACUUAGAAACACUCAUCGCCCAGCGUGCAAUGAUGGCAGAAGACAGCUUGUUUGCCCAAAGGCAAAGAGAAAGGACUCGUGAGCGACAGAGGGCAUCUAGACUCAAGAGAAAACAACAGAGGCAGCCCUCCACUACUACCGCUUUUGUUGAGAAGAACAACAAUAACAUAAAAAGAGGUGAUGCAGCUGUAGGCGGCAGCAGUGGUGGGGCAAAGCAGUUUGUCUUCCACAUAUAUUGAUUUCCAUAUUUAGGGGAGUGCUUUUGGUGCCUCCUCUAAAUAUGGAAAUUAAUUGUUAAGUGGUAGACAAACUGUUGUCUCUUUAUUAAUACAUGUUUUAACAUUUAUUAUUUUAUAUAAUACACCUAUUUCAAAUGAGGUUACAAUACCAAUGUCACAAACUGCAGUCCUUCAAAGAUAUCAAAUGAGCCAACAAAUAAGCAUAGAUCAAAGCUUACCCAUGUUUCUUUUUGUGUGUCUUUUGAAUGAACCAAUCAGUGUUACCACACAUUGAUCCUCCAAUGCAAUACCUUGUUUGAAAUAGGUGUAUAAUAUAUAUUUCAAAAAUAUCCUAACCCGUUAUAUUUUAUUAUUCUUGAUGUAAAUAACCAAUAGGGUCUCAUGACAAUACAAUAUUUUAUUAGGUUGUGCAUGAUUUUUCAUAGCCAAAUUAUCAAUGAUAAGACACGAGCAUAGUUUUAUACAUGAAUACUUUUUGAAUGAACCAUUUUAUUUUUUCAUGUCAAUGCAAUAUUUAUAUUGUGGUGUGCACAAUUUUUCAUAGCCAAAUUAUAAAGGAUAGGACACAAGCCUAACUUUAGAAAUGAAUAAUUUUGAAUGAACCAUUUUAAUUUCCUGUGUCAAUACAAUAUUAUUUCUAUUAUGGCUUGCACAAUUUUUCACAACCAAAUUAUAUGUGAUAAGACACCAGCCUAAAUAAAUGCUUUUAAAUUAAAAGCCAUUAUUUCUUAAUAAUUCAGAAUAACACCUUUUUUAACAUCAUGCAUUUUUCCUACUUACGUGUAUACACCACUUUCCUACUAAAAGCAAUCCUAUACUGCUGGAUCUCAGCUUUGACUUUUUCAUGUCAAAUAAUGGUGCAUUUGCACAAUGAUAAUAAAAACAAGCAUUCUCUAAAA